GGUUAUAGCUCAAUGGUAGAGCAUUUGCCCAGCAUGCACAAGAUCCUGGAUUCAAUCCCCAGUGAGUCA
rnacentral:tRNA from 1 species